UUAAUCUUGUAGGCCUUUUUCAUACAACAAAAAGAAGCAAUAAAGUUUUUUUCCCUUAGCCAAUAUCAUUCCAAAACACAGUUAAAUAACUCUGAUUAACUGAAAAGGAAGUUGGGAAGAUAUUACCUUUUUUAAGCCUAUUGCAGACAGCCUUUCCUCAUCAAGAUUGACAGCAACUUGAUAUACCUAAUACACAAAGAUUAAUUUUUCAACUGAAGAAACAAUGAUUCAUUUCAUAUUAAAAGAAAGUAAAGUAAAUCUUAUUUUCAGCUAAGUAUUUAGGACAUCUACUGGUUGCAAUAUAAAAGGUUAUAUGGAAUUCUGUUUGAUUCCCAUUAAUGAACUACGUUUGCAUCAGCGAGUAAACACUCUUUUCCCGUAACACAUUAUGGAGUAUGCAUUGUAACAAAUCCUGUACAGACAUUCCCUUGCUCUUUCAUGCACCCUCCUGUGACAUUAUACUCCAUAUUCUUUACGAAAAUAUGCUUGUGAUAGGAAUAUGACAUAACUAAGUUGUACUUUAAGCAAGAUGAGCCUUGUAAGGUAUCGUUGGAAAGGUUAUGAUUUACUGAAUAGGAUUAUCCUAUUUGUAUGCAUGUAUCAUUUCCGUAUCUGAAAUUAGGAAUAUUGUCUAUGUAUCUAUAUUUCAACUAUGUUAUUUUGGGCAACACCCCCUGCUAACAACUUCAGAUACAACAAUGAAAAAGCCUGAGUGCUCAGGCCCAUCAGCAAGAGCCAAUGGACUAUAAAAGAGCUUUGUCUUCCUGUGAACAUGUGGGUCAGUCUGUGAAGAAUGGCUACAGGCACCCUACAGAGGCAUGUGACCAUGUCACUGGAUACUGUAACCCAUCUUGAAUUUCUGUACUUUUCCAUGAGAAGCUGGAGGGGUGGGGUGGGGGGGGUCAAACUAGGAAACAAAUGACUCCCGCCUUAUGCAAAUCCUAUUUAAGGGUGGAGAGUGAGGUAAUCCCGGUAGUCAGUUCUCCCCUGCUAUCCCACCCAAGAUGACUGCUGGAAGCAACGAAGACUGAACUGGGGGAAAGAACUGUCCUCAGGCUGGAAGGGCACCUGGCCUGUGAAGAAGAUUAUUAGAAUCACAUUUAGGGAUUGAAGGGAGAAACAGAGGAAUGUGAAGAAAACAUGUAUUUGGACAUGCUAUGCAAGUGAAGCCCUGCACCCCUUUAGAUUAAAAUGUCUCUAUACUGAAAUAUUUGUUAGCCUUGGGCUGUGUAAUGUUCUUGAUACAAAUUAACAGUAUGUUCAUUCUAUGUAUUAAGAAAAUGCAUCAAUGUUAAAUUCUUCAUAUUGCUCACAGUAUCAACAGUCAUAAUGGUAAAGAUGCGUGCUGGGAAUGGUGUUAACUGCAGAUACAAAUUUGUGUUAUGGUUACAUAACACAAAGACGCAUGGAAAAAGAUCUGUUAAGGGAACCAUCUAUAACUGUCACUGUGUAAUCCUCAACCUCUCUCUCAAAAUAACAGAAGUUUAAUUUUAAUUCACAAUAUGGAAAAACUAUAAAUACGUGUCUUAAAUCAGAGACAAUAAAAUUAAGAUAUUGAACACUUGCA